UACGUAGGGGGCAAGCGUUGUCCGGAUUUAUUGGGCGUAAAGAGCGUGUAGGCGGCCUGGUAGGUCAGCUGUGAAAACUCGAGGCUCAACCUCGAGACGCCGGUUGAAACCAUCAGGCUAGAGUCCGGAAGAGGAGAGUGGAAUUCCCGGUGUAGCGGUGAAAUGCGCAGAUAUCGGGAAGAACACCCGUGGCUAAGGCGGCUCUCUAGUACGGUACUGACGCUGAGGAGCGAAAGCGUGGGGAGCGAACAGG
rnacentral:rRNA from 1 species